CAUAUCAAUAAGCGGAGGAAAAGAAAAUAACAAUGAUUCCCCUAGUAACUGCGAGUGAAGAGGGACAAGCUCAAAUUUUAAAUCCAUCGGGUUUUACCCGAUCGAGUUGUAAUUUGAAGAGGCGUUUUCUGUGUUUCUGAUCAGUCCAAGUCCUUUGGGAUAAGGCAUCAUGGAGGGUGAGAAUCCCGUCCGGUUGAUCAGAUUCGCUUUACGAUACGCUUUCUAAGAGUCAAGUUGUUUGGGAUUGCAGCUUAAAAUGGGAGGUAAAUUUCUCCUAAGGCUAAAUAACGGCGAGAGACCGAUAGCGAACAAGUACCGUGAGGGAAAGAUGAAAAGAACUUU
rnacentral:rRNA from 1 species